rnacentral:lncRNA from 1 species
CCGACCUCAGCUUCGCCUGCGAGCUGGGUUGUGUAAAGGCUGGUCAUUUUGGGGCGCUUAGGGGUGGGUGCCGGGGGGCGCGCUUUCCCUCGUGAAGGUCGCUCCAGGAGUCAUGCGUACAUUCGUUCAUUUUGCUCUGGACGCACUGAUGUUCCCGGCUCGCCGCCGUGCCGCAGUCACGAGGCUCUCCGAACGCCUUUCACUGUGUUUCUGUUUACAUUCGCGUCUGCAAGACCCGGCGGCGCGACCGAGGCCCGAACAGAUGGAGAUGGGCUGCCAUGUUGUGAGCUGCCCCAUGGGGAAGAGGCUCACAUGUGAGGAACUGAGGGAGGCCUCCAGAAAACAGCCAGUGAAGAACUGAGACCCUCAGUCCAAUAGCCUAUGAGGAACUGAAUCCUGCUGACAACCAUAUGAAUGAGCUUGGAAGCAGAUCCUUCCCCAGUGAAGCCUUCAUGUGAGACUGCAGCCCACUUGACACUUUGAUUUGUAGCUUGUGACAGACCCCAAGCCAGAAGAGUCAGGCCGUAUGCAGUGGCUCAACGCCUGCAAUCCCAGAACUUUGGGAGGCCGAGGCAGGUGGAUCACUUGAGGAAAUCCAAGCUAAUUCCUGUGCCAAAGGCUGGCUUAAGAGAGGGCCCACAAUGCAAUUCUGGCCUGUCUUCCUCUGCUGGAUGUCACCUUAUUUGAACUGGACACUUAGAACCAUGACAGCCAUCUGUGUCUAUGAGGGAGUGAGCCAGAGAACCAAGCUGACAUGUUGAAUAUGGACUUCUUUAAGGGCAUGAUGGCAAACAUCCUCAUUGUGAAUGGGAUUGGCAGCAAACAACUGUAUACCUGACUAACAGUGGCCUGAACAAAUAACGACAUAAUUUUCUCACCUUAUGAGAAGGCUGGAGGUAAGUGGCUGCUUGUAUUGGUUCAGAAGCUCAGUGGUGUUGGGACUGACACCACUGUGAUUCUCUUUGCCUUUCCCCCAUGGUUUCAAAAUGAUGGCUGUAUCCACGUUCAAGGAAGGAAGAAGAAAGUGCUGCAGUUCCAUUUUAUUGGGAAAGCAAAUGCUUUCCCAGAAACUUCACCAGAUUAUGCUUAUAUCUCAUUGGCUAGAACCACGUCACAUGGCCACCCCUAGCUGCAAGGGAGGCUGGGUAAGCAAGUAUUUAUUUGGCCAUAUUACUGCUUUGAACAAACUUAAGAUUCUAUUAAGGAAGAGACAAGUGAGAUAGAUUUUGAAUAGAUGGUAAAUCAUGUCUGCUAUAAUCCUAUGUAUCUUUUAUUCUUGAUGCCUG